CUUCUUCUUCUCGCUGUUCGGAACCCAGGUAGCUUGGUUCGUCAUCCCCAUCUUCCUGUCUUCUCUGUUCGUGGCUUGGAGCAGCUCGCCGUUGGGUCGCCGCUUGCUGUCGCCUUGCCUAUUGUCGUCGUCUCGUCGGUUUCCAUCCUGUCUCCGUCGAAGGUUCAGUAUUGGCUUCAACUUUCAAAUAGGAAUUGGGAGCUGGUGAAGAUAAUAACAUCUUCUGGAACUGAGUAUGUUGUUUCACUGCCUGAUAGAAAAUAAGCUGAAGCAUAAGAGGGAUAAAAAACAAACUGAAACCCAAUGUUGGGAGGAGGAAGAGCAAGAGAAUCAUGGUAACAAGAUCCUUGAAGACCCUUCUCUCAAGGGGGGUCUUAUUAAAAAGACAAAGCUUCAGGAGUGUGAUGAAUCAAUGGGGCCCAAAGAAGAUGGUACUACAAUGAUGGGGCUUGCAGGAAUUCCUGUAGCACCUUGCUACCGGGGAUCAAAAGGUGGAAUCUAUUUCGUUCUUCAAAAUGCCUCCCUGGUUGCUGCUUAUGUUGGGAAGAGGUACCAGAUUUUGAAUCCAGACGAGCAUGCCAAUUUCCUGCGAAGGAAAAACAAGAACCCUUAUGAUUAUAGGCCUGAUAUUGUGCAUGAGGCCCUUCUUCAAAUUAUGGGUAGUAGGCUUUGCAUGGCCGGUAGGGUACAUGGUGUAUUCAUUAAAACUGAUGAAGGAAUACUUAUCCGAGUUGAAGCAAACACCCAGAUACCAAAGACUCUGGGAAGCUUUUGCAACAUGAUGGCUGAGCUACUGCAAAAGUUCAGCAUCAAAUCAAAGGGUAAUCGUGGAAAACUUUUGCGCCUAAUUGAAAAUCCUGUAACUAAACACUUACCUGUUAACUCUCGUAAGAUUGUGUUAGGUAACAAAAUGAAAGCGACAGACAGAGACAGGGACAUGGACACAAACUUUAGUGCUAACUAGUUUUGCGAUAGGGGAGGACAAGGAAAAAUAUAUUAAGUGGACAUGAUUGCUCCUAGCUGGGCCACUGCCGGAAAAGUGUUCAGCCAUUGGAUCUUGCCAAAAGGGUUACUGAUGGUAGCAAUCUGGCAGUUGGCGGUGGUGGUGGUCUGGGAGGAGCAAGAGGUAAUAUGUGUCUGCAAGUUGUGUCUCCAGUGUCCUCACUUUUUGAGGUUGGUGCAAUGGCUCAUGGAAAGAUAGAUGCUGAAUAUGUUGAUGAUCUUAUAUCAGUUUCUGCAUUGCCCUUGAGUGCUGGGACUUGUCUGAGACGUAUCUGUGUUGCGUUGGAGAGGAAUCAGAAGAUUCACUGAUUAACAUUUCUACUUAUUUUUUGUACAUAUUGGUAACAUCAAUUCUGCUAACUAUAGACCCAAGGGGUUAGCUCAGUAAAAUUGUUGUUAGUUUAUUAUUCUGGGAACAAAUAUUUUUCAGUUAUUUUGGGCUGUUUCUCUCCCAAGGAUGCAAAUGACACUUAAUGAACUCACUCUCUUUUAGCCACUUAUAA